rnacentral:misc_RNA from 1 species
UUGAACUUGUCAUCAAAUUCACUUAGUGGCCACCUACCACUAAGUAUUGGAAAUUUGAAGGUAGUAACACAAGUAGACUUAUCAAGUAAUCAUUUAUCCGGUAUCAUCCCAGAUUCCCUUGGAGGCCUCCAAAGCCUGAUGAAACUCUCCUUAAGACACAACAAUUUUGAAGGCCCUAUUCCCGAAUCAUUUGGAAACUUGAUAAGCCUG